CGCAUCUGUGCAUGCAGCAUAUCAAUAAGCGGAGGAAAAGAAACUAACAAGGAUUCCCCUAGUAACGGCGAGUGAAGCGGGAAGAGCUCAAAUUUGAAAUCUUAAAGGGUUUCCCUUUACGAAUUGUAGUUUAAAGAAGUGUUUUCUGUUGAGGUUUUGGUAAAAGUUCUUUGGAAUAGGGCAUCAUAGAGGGUGAGAAUCCCGUAUUUGACCUUUACUUUCAACUUUGUGAUACACCUUCAAAGAGUCGGAUUGUUUGGGAAUGCAGUCCAAAAUGGGUGGUAAAUUUCAUCUAAAGCCAAAUAUUGGCGAGAGACCGAUAGCGAACAAGUACCGUGAGGGAAAGAUGAAAAGAACUUUGAAAAGAGAGUUAAACAGUACGUGAAAUUGUCAAAAGGGAAGCGUUUGACACCAGUGUUGUUUUUCUGAAAAUCAAUUAAAGAACUGUUUAUGCUAAGUUGUUUAGACUUUAUCAGCUAACUGUUUAGUUUUGAGCUUUUCUUUAAUGCACUUUUCAGUUAACAAGUCAACAUCAAUUUCUUUUGCUGUAAAAAAGCUUGAGGAAGGUGGCUUGAGAUUCGUCUUAAGUGUUUAUAGCCUCUUGCCUAUGCAGUCGGAGAGAUUGAGGUCUGCAGCGUAGAUCCUUCGGGGCUAAAUGCAUUUGUGCUAAGUUAUAACAUUUUAUAGACAACUUGUUGACUAUGAUUUGUCUUGUAGCUUACUCGCUUAUGUUAUUUUACCUACGCUUAGGAUGUUGAGCGCAUGUCUCUCUCU
rnacentral:rRNA from 1 species